rnacentral:rRNA from 1 species
GACGGAGGGCGCAAGCGUUGUUCGGAAUUACUGGGCGUAAAGCGCGCGCAGGCGGUCUGUUAAGUCUGCGGUGAAAUCCCGGAGCUCAACUCCGGAUAUGCCGCGGAUACUGGCGGACUAGAGACCGGUAGAGGCGAGUGGAAUUCCAGGUGUAGCGGUGGAAUGCGUAGAUAUCUGGAAGAACACCGGGUGGCGAAGGCGGCUCGCUGGGCCGGUUCUGACGCUCAGGCGCGAAAGCGUGGGGAGCAAACAGG